rnacentral:sRNA from 1 species
GAGGAGCCGCUCAUCGUCUGCAAAGCAGACGAUUCUUAUAGCGGCGACGACCUGCCGCUGAGCGUAUGCGAAGGGGCGCUUCCU